GAUGAACGCUGGCGGCGUGCCUAACACAUGCAAGUCGAGCGAUUCUCUUCGGAGAAGAGCGGCGGACGGGUGAGUAACGCGUGGGUAACCUGCCCUGUACACACGGAUAACAUACCGAAAGGUAUGCUAAUACGAGAUAAUAUGCUUUUAUCGCAUGGUAGAAGUAUCAAAGCUUAUGCGGUACAGUAGGGACCCGCGUCUGAUUAGCUAGUUGGUAAGGUAACGGCUUAACAAGGCGACGAUCAGUAGCCGACCUGGGAGGGUGAUCGGGCACAUCGGAACUGAGGCACGGUCCAAACUACUACGGGAGGCAGCAGUGGGGAAUAUUGCACCAUGGGCGAAAGCCAGAUGCAGCAACGCCGCGUGGUCGAUGAAGGCCUUCGGGUCGUCAAGCUCUGUCCUCAAGGAAGAUAAUGACGGUACUUGAGGAGGAAGCCCCGGCUAACUACGUUCCAGCCGCCGCAGUAACAC
rnacentral:rRNA from 1 species